rnacentral:rRNA from 1 species
CCUUUCUCCUGCGGAGGCCCGCAGUAGGGAUUUCUCCCCAAGGGGCGAAAGCCUGAAGGAACAACCGCCGCGUGUGUGAAGAAGGGUUUCGGCUUGUAAAACCCUGUUGUAAGAGAAGAAUGACAUUGAGAGUAACUGUUCAAUGUGUGACGGUAUCUUACCAGAAAGGAACGGCUAAAUACGUGCCAGCAGCCGCGGUAAUACGUAUGUUCCAAGCGUUAUCCGGAUUUAUUGGGCGUAAAGCGAGCGCAGACGGUUAUUUAAGUCUGAAGUGAAAGCCCUCAGCUCAACUGAGGAAUUGCUUUGGAAACUGGAUGACUUGAGUGCAGUAGAGGAAAGUGGAACUCCAUGUGUAGCGGUGAAAUGCGUAGAUAUAUGGAAGAACACCAGUGGCGAAGGCGGCUUUCUGGACUGUAACUGACGUUGAGGCUCGAAAGUGUGGGUAGCAAACAGGAUUAGAUACCCUGGUAGUCCACACCGUAAACGAUGAGUGCUAGGUGUUUGAGGGUUUCCGCCCUUAAGUGCCGCAGCUAACGCAUUAAGCACUCCGCCUGGGGAGUACGACCGCAAGGUUGAAACUCAAAGGAAUUGACGGGGACCCGCACAAGCGGUGGAGCAUGUGGUUUAAUUCGAAGCAACGCGAAGAACCUUACCAGGUCUUGACAUCCCUUGACAACUCCAGAGAUGGAGCGUUCCCUUCGGGGACAAGGUGACAGGUGGUGCAUGGUUGUCGUCAGCUCGUGUCGUGAGAUGUUGGGUUAAGUCCCGCAACGAGCGCAACCCUUAUUACUAGUUGCCAGCAUUUAGUUGGGCACUCUAGUGAGACUGCCGGUGACAAACCGGAGGAAGGUGGGGAUGACGUCAAAUCAUCAUGCCCCUUAUGACCUGGGCUACACACGUGCUACAAUGGCGUAUACAACGAGUUGCCAACCCGCGAGGGUGAGCUAAUCUCUUAAAGUACGUCUCAGUUCGGAUUGUAGGCUGCAACUCGCCUACAUGAAGUCGGAAUCGCUAGUAAUCGCGGAUCAGCACGCCGCGGUGAAUACGUUCCCGGGUCUUGUACACACCGCCCGUCACACCAUGAGAGUUUGUAACACCCAAAGCCGGUGGGGUAACCUUCGGAGCCAGCCGUCUAAGUGACAGAGUUGGU